UCGAGGAUCUUCGGCAAUGGGCGCAAGCCUGACCGAGCGACGCCGCGUGUGGGAUGAAGGCCCUUGGGUCGUAAACCACUGUCAGAGGGGAUGAAAUGCGGGAGAGCAAUCUCUUCCGUUUGACAUAGCCUCAGAGGAAGCACGGGCUAAGUUCGUGCCAGCAGCCGCGGUAAUACGAACUGUGCAAACGUUAUUCGGAAUCACUGGGCUUAAAGGGUGCGUAGGCGGCCAUGUAAGUAGGGUGUGAAAGCCCCCGGCUCAACCGGGGAAUUGCGCCCUAAACUGUGUGGCUAGAGUGAGAUAGGGGUGUACGGAACUUCCAGUGGAGCGGUGAAAUGUGUUGAUAUUGGAAGGAACGCCGGAGGCGAAAGCGGUACACUGGGUCUCAACUGACGCUGAGGUGCGAAAGCUAGGGGAGCAAACGGGAUUAGAUACCCCGGUAGUCCCUGAGCGGGCUGGCAAGGCGCAU
rnacentral:rRNA from 1 species